rnacentral:rRNA from 1 species
GACAGAGGGGGCCAGCGUUGUCCGGACUGACUGGGCGUAAAGGGCACGCAGGUGGUCGUGCGCGUGUGCUGUGAAAGCGCGCCGCUUAACGGCGCGAGGCCAGCGCAUACGGCACGACUGGAGCCGUGCAGAGGCUAGGGGAAUUGCCGGUGUAGUGGUGAAAUGCGUAGAGAUCGGCAGGAACGCCAAUGGGGAAGCCACCUAGCUGGGCACGUGCUGACACUCAGGUGCGAAAGCGUGGGGAG